rnacentral:rRNA from 1 species
GACGAACGCUGGCGGCGUGCUUAACACAUGCAAGUCGAACGGAAAGGCCUCUUUCGGGGGGUACUCGAGUGGCGAACGGGUGAGUAACACGUGAGUAACCUGCCCUUGACUUUGGGAUAACUUCAGGAAACUGGGGCUAAUACCGGCUAGGAGCUCCUGCUGCAUGGUGGGGGUUGGAAAGUUUCGGCGGUUGGGGAUGGACUCGCGGCUUAUCAGCUUGUUGGUGGGGUAGUGGCUUACCAAGGCUUUGACGGGUAGCCGGCCUGAGAGGGUGACCGGCCACAUUGGGACUGAGAUACGGCCCAGACUCCUACGGGAGGCAGCAGUGGGGAAUAUUGCAGAAUGGGUGGAAGCCUGAUGCAGCAACGCCGUGUGCGGGAUGACGGCCUUCGGGUUGUAAACCGCUUUCGCUCAUGACGAAGCUUUGUGUGACGGUAGUGGGUAAAGAAGCACCGGCUAACUACGUG